rnacentral:tRNA from 1 species
GACCCCUUCGUCUAGAGGCCUAGGACACCGCAUUUUCAUUGCGGCAACACGGGUUCAAAUCCCGUAGGGGUCACCA